GAACUAGAGUCCCGCCAGUCAUCGCGAACUAGAGUCCCGCCGACCGCCGCGAACUAAAGCGCCUGCCGGCCGCGACGUGUUCUAGGCUCGCCAGCCGCCGCGAACUAGAGCCUCUGUCGGCCACCGGGAACUGAAGUCCCUACCGGCCGCCGCAAACUCUAGGACCAAUCGACCCCAGUUCGUUCUCAUCCGGUAGAUGCCGCUCCUACCGCCGGCCGCUCGUCGUCCCGGUUCGUUCUUCUCGACCCACUACGGUUUGUGGAGGAAAAUUGCCUGGACUCGGACCCUCACGAAGAGUAGAUACCCUAGCUGCUUGCCAUCGUCGAGAAGAGUUGUUUCGUCGCCGAAUGGAAUCGUCCGACCCGGUGUCUUUAAUAGACUUCUGUGUGUCCGAUGGACGACACGUUGUAUAGACAGAGUCGAGACUGAACUCCGCGUUACCGGCUCCAACACUAAGAGUACCGUCACCGUUUCUAGCCACAUCGAGACCCCUUACUUCGUUACUUGGUCCGAUGAAAUGUCAAGAUAUUGAAAUAUUGUGUCGAUUGUCUCGAAGUUCCUUCGUACCCAGCGUAGUCUUCCCUCGAGUCCAACUACGUACUUAUAGAAACGGCUUACCUGUAUGCCUUAGCGUUGUUAGUCUGUAUACUUUAGACCCACCUCCUCCACUCUUACGAACAAGUACCCUAACUCCUGUAACACCUACUCAUAAACGUAGAACAACCAGUCUUUGUACUGUCACCUACCUCACGGAUAGACUUCUUUCCUAAGUUUGUUGGUUUACAAAAUAAGAGAAAUUUGUCCCAUCGAAGAAACCAAUUCCUUCGCCUCCAGUUAGAACACGUGGACAAGGUCCGAUUUCUAGCUACCCACAGUUACCAUCUAUCACCCAUAUACUUACUGAGUUCAAUGUAACAACUCUCCAGAGUCGUAGAUCGUUCGUGAAGUGCAAGGGAACGACUUCUUCUAGAGCACCUCCAACUACCUUUGUCUUUUUUCGAACUCGUCACCAACCGUCCACUACUCAACCUUGCGAGACACCAUCACGACGUACCAUACCCUCCCGAACCAUUUUGUUGAAACCGACGUUUACAGAUGUCCUUCCUUUGUCUUUUAAAACUAACGGUAACAACCCAGAGACAGAGAGUUUGAAUAAGGUCUCUUCUACAAAAUUUUUUUAAUUAGUUCCUCGAAAAGUUUCUGUUUCGGUAACAAGGUAGAUUAUAACUCUGGUACCUGUAGUAUUCGGAACUUCUCCGUGACUUCUUAAAAAAUCUCGUCGCAUUCAUAAACUAGUACGACCUACUACAAACCUGAGGACUUCGUAAAGUACUAGAAAGACCCCACCAAUAAGCAUUGUUCUUCCCGUCGUCUCAACAUUAGUGUUGGUCCCUUCCGUUACAACGAGCUGAACGAAGAGUUCCUGUCCAGAAUUGUGAUUUUGGAGAUAGUUUCCUACCUAGUACCGUUGAGAAGACAUUCUGUCGAAAGGGGUCUCUAUGUUUUACACUCACAGGGUGUCUUGACUGUCUUAAUCGUGUACUUCACCAACUGUUCACAUUUCCGUAUGGGGAGCGUUAACAGAGAUAACCGUUCGAGGAGAAACAUGCACUGUUCUGGUUUCUCCUUGACUUCGCUUAUGUACUGGUCGAGCUGACCCUCGAUCAAUUGUUAGGUUCGAACCUUGUACAGUCCUUAUAGGAAAUAAACUCAAUGAACAUGGAAGGCUGUAUGAACUUUUCAACGAAAGACAUGACGUCGAACAAGGGUCUCCUGAUAGAAAAGUUUUCCUUUUUCGACUAUGCUAACACCCAUCGUCUCCCGAAGCAGUUCCCUUCCCCACUUUCGUGUUACCUCCUUCACCGACUUCCAAUAGAUCUUCUCAACCAAGUGUCUUUAUACGAAGUUCAACUAUGUUCUUUGGGUAAACCAUCCUAUUUUAGUAAGUCCUACGUACUAUAACAUGCACUCAACCGUCAUCUAAACACAGCGGCCCUUACGAAACCACAACAAAUACUCCUCCUAUUUAUAUACCUUAGAGAACUACUCUACCUACGUGCAGCUGACCAUUAUGUGUUUUACUUCUUCCUAUAAAUAGUCAGUCAUAGUCCACAUGUGGCAGAGGCGAGACAAUAGCGUAACCUGUAGUUAUAAGGUAGGUGAAAUGACGGAGAUUAUCGUUACUUCAGGUCUAUAUACAGCCACGACCUCAAUUCACCGGAUGGGUAACUCUUUCAAGGUCUACCAUAACCUCUAGAAAAGUUAGAGGCGAUAAACCCAGACGCACCAAGUUUUCACUUCGAGGAAGGGUCCAGAUAACUCUUUGAAAGUUCAAACAACUGUGACCUGGAAAGUCCCAGACCGUACUUCCUCGACGGAUCUCCGUAACCAUUUGAUUUUUUCGAAUCCGUCAAUAAGUGACUGUUUCGAUCACUAGCUAAAUCCUCUCUAAAGGCUACGCCGUCACCACAUACGUAGGGGUUCCCGGAACUCUUGGACUGUUCAGACGUCUGUGAUCAUAGUAACCUUCGCGUCCUACUCAGGCAAUCUGUCAACCCCCUCGACUCCGUCGACUCUUCGAACCUCUAUACCUUACACUUUCCUUGGAUGACACCUGUAUAUAGACGAAGAGAUCGGCCCUACGCUGUGGAAAGGAUGGAUGUACACUUACGUUCGCUUCUGUUACUCCAAGAGGCCAACUCACCAGAUGGGGGUUUGGACGUUUCCUAAUCGAACUGACCGGCUAAUCGCCUUCCGUGUAACCAUCUCAGAGGAGACAAGGUUUGACGCCCCGCCUUGGACAUAAGUGACAGAGAUAGAACCAGGGUCUACUAUGUUCUGGGGAAUGGUAGGGAAAGAGCUAACAGUUUAAACAGUCUGGACUACGAGUGGUCCCGCAUGUCUCCUUUCGUCUACUGUAAAGAACGGCCCACCAAGGGGUUCGAUUUUUGGGACUCUGACUCUCUGGACGGUUUAGACCUCCAAGAUCUCUACUUCCUUCCACGGCAACACUCGGAGCUUUAUAAUUGUGAUCAGUUGGAACUUCCGUACCACCUCCAGGGUGGACCGUAUCUCAAAGAGCGCGUACAUUUCGUAUAAAGCAAGGCCCUUUAGUGGUCGCUCAAAAACUGAAGCGACGCUGUUACAGGAUCUUGAGUUCCCUACGUCACCGCCGUAUGAGAGUCCACUGUAAUUGGGACGACCGGAGCUUUACUCAGCUAAACCACGAGCCCGAGUAGACGUGGACUUUAGACUCGGAAACCAACAACGGAACUCUACCAUUUUUAGCACAGUCUACGCUGUCUCGACCUGGCAACUUUUUUCUCCUAUGUCCGAUAUAUGACAUACCGUGUCACGCGUGCCCACCCGGUCAACGCAUCGAACACCGCAGCGAGGCACUAACGCCCGCAGACUCGGCACCGAGUCUUGAACAGGCUACGAUCCGGUCCAGCACUCCACGGUUUGCUCGGCAGGGACCUGACGUGCAGACAAACACCCCUCCAUGGAGCGCCAUUACCGCCCGCACAAGUGGCUAAGGGGUGGGUCCCUCCUCAAGCGCCUGUCGAACCUCGUCGGUUUAGGGCUGUGAGAUCCCAAGGAGGCAGACAGGUACCGGCGACCCGACGUAGCGGCGACUGCGGCAAAGGUGGCGGGGUAGUGGCAACUGGGGCUGCGGUGGUGACGAGAGAUCUAGAGUCAGAGCGGCCGCGAGGAGUGACGGAACGAGGGGAGAUGACCUGUCGACGAGCGGCCGCAGCAGAAAGAGGACAUGACCAGCCGCAGUAGAGCAAGAGCCCGUGAUUGUUCAGGUACAGGGGGACCAAGACGUGCUGUAGAGAUCGGGCUGUCGGAGGUGGUCUGUGGUGCCCAAGGAGGAGGACCUCCUCAAGUGGCUGUCGGUACCUCUUGGUCUAGGUCAUGAAGACUACAACAAUGGCAGUCCGCUCCGGUUGUCUAGGUACGGCCGCCUGAGCUUAAGACUCAGAACUACGGUCCGCUCCGGUGCCAUCCCGAACGCCGUCGCUGCCCUCCAUAGAGGCUGAGCCAGGCGCGUCAGUCGACUGUCCCAGUUGGGGCUCCGUAUUACGUGGAAUAGCAGCCUGGACUUCCGACUCGACUGAGGACCACCACUCCACUGCAAUUUACAGACCUCUACGUAUGUCGUGUACGACUUACGUUUCCUCUUCUCCUACAUGGCACCCACCGAGCGCUCCACCUCUCUAAGGCGCGAAACACUCGAAACGUCCCGUCUGUUAAUUCACCUGACCCUAAUAUAGUCGUACUACUACUUGGGAAUUAACUAUCCCAUGUCUUAACUAACCGACCUUUUCAACUACAAGGGUCACGAAAAGUACCUGGCGACCAGUAAUAUGUAAGAGCUAUGACUCUUCUUCCAACACUACCACAAACUGGGUUGGCUCUGUCUAGGCUGUCUACUCUACUUCUCCUUCGUGCUCCGUAAUAGCUCCUUCAAGACCAAAUCUAAGACGGUGGACAGGUUACAGUACAAGCCACGUCCACGUCCCAACCAGCUCUGCUGACCGACCUGUAAACACAUGGGGGACCACCGCGUCGUGCUUGGUACGUACUCCUAUCGUCACACAGUACGCGAUGUAAGACCUCAAGUGACCAGAAAUGGAACCAAGCUACGAAUGGGUUCGUGUCGAACUCGUGGAUUAUUCUUUCUUUUAACGUAUACACCAGUCACUAGUACUUCCCCUUGUUCCCUUUAUAGGACAUAAAGGACGUGUUUCUUUUAAACAUGAAUCUCUGGAUUCGUCUAAUUAAUCUUAAUGCCUGCGACGCUCGUUUCAACAUACCUGUCUAAUGGGAGAUAGACUUAAGCGUUACAGUAUUGAUUGAUAACCACCGCUAAACACGAGAAUUUCCGAACGUGCCGACACAAAUACUGUUUUUUUUUUUGGACUGAUUUAAAGUUUUACCU
rnacentral:rRNA from 1 species